GACCGAUGGCGUGACCGAUUCGAUCUCGGUCCAGGUGGCGCCGGCGUUGUCCGAGCGGAAGACGCCGUUGUGGUGCUGGAUCCACAGCCGGUCG
rnacentral:tRNA from 1 species